AGACUGUCUGGUGAAUCUGGACAAGAUGGCCCUUCUGAGUCAGUCUGGACUUCAGACUGAGGCGCACUCGUGAGUCAGGGGAAUAUAGGUGGAAAGGUGGAAAUCAGGCUCAAGCCAGCCAGACACACACACCAUGUGGGUGUGCCCAGCACCUUGGGGGAUGAAACAGCUUCUAGUGGAGGGACUCCCCUGGAUAGGAAGCCACCGUGCCUGCCAGAAUCCUUUUGUUUCUUCUUCUUGCCAAAUUCCUUCCUAGAACGUCCAACUCACUGUUGAAUAGAAGUAUCUAUUGAAGGUAGUAUUCUCAUCUUCCUAUUCAUCUGUGGGCUUUCGUGGAUGCCCUCUAUCGGCAGGAGAUGUCUCUAGUUUGUGAGAAGUUGACAAAGACCAGCAACGUGGACCACGCCUAGCGGGACACACCUUUAAAGCCAGCAGAGGCAGGAGGAUCUGUGUUAUUUCGAGGGCCAUCUGGUCUACAUAACAGUAUCUGUUAUGUUGCUCUAGCUGUCCUGGAACUCCAUAUACAGACCAGGCUGGCCCUAAAGUACCAGAAAUCCUCCAUCCUCCUGCCUCUGCUUCCUGAGUGCUGGGACCAAGUGUGAGCUGCUACAGUACCCAGCUUUAAUAAUCAAUCUCUCUCUCUCUCUCUCUCUCUCUCUCUCUCUCUCUCUCUCUCUCUCAUCCCAUUAAUUUUAUUCCUCUAAGAGAACCCUGACUUAUGCUGCUAAAGAGACUGAAUAGCUUUAG
rnacentral:lncRNA from 1 species